GGGGAAUUUUCCGCAAUGGGCGAAAGCCUGACGGAGCAAUACCGCGUGAGGGAUGACGGCCUAUGGGUUGUAAACCUCUUUUUUCAGGGAGGAAUCAAUGACGUGUACCUGAAGAAUAAGCAUCGGCUAACUC
rnacentral:rRNA from 1 species